rnacentral:rRNA from 1 species
GGGCCCGCACAAGCAGUGGAGUAUGUGGUUUAAUUCGAAGCAACGCGAAGAACCUUACCAGGUCUUGACAUCGUGCGCAUAACUAAGAGAUUAGUGAAGUUCCUUCGGGAACGCAUAGACAGGUGGUGCAUGGUUGUCGUCAGCUCGUGUCGUGAGAUGUUGGGUUAAGUCCCGCAACGAGCGCAACCCUUACCUUUAGUUGCUACGCAAGAGCACUCUAGAGGGACUGCCGUUGACAAAACGGAGGAAGGUGGGGAUGACGUCAAAUCAUCAUGCCCCUUAUGAUCUGGGCUACACACGUACUACAAUGGCAAUUAACAAAGAGAAGCAAAGUCGCGAGGCGGAGCAAAUCUCCAAAAAUUGUCCCAGUUCAGAUUGCAGGCUGCAACUCGCCUGCAUGAAGUCGGAAUUGCUAGUAAUCGCAGAUCAGCAUGCUGCGGUGAAUACGUUCCCGGGCCUU